rnacentral:sRNA from 1 species
CUUACCAAGGAUCGCCCCCCGUCAGCGAGUUUCGCCCACGGGGGCUGUUCUA